rnacentral:rRNA from 1 species
UGGCGGACGGGUGAGUAACGCGUGGGCAACCUGGCCUGUACAGGGGGAUAACACUUAGAAAUAGGUGCUAAUACCGCAUAACGGGAGAAGCCGCAUGGCUUUUCCUGAAAACUCCGGUGGUACAGGAUGGGCCCGCGUCUGAUUAGCCAGUUGGCAGGGUAACGGCCUACCAAAGCGACGAUCAGUAGCCGGCCUGAGAGGGCGGACGGCCACACUGGGACUGAGACACGGCCCAGACUCCUACGGGAGGCAGCAG